AGAGACAGCAGCCGCCGCGGGAAUACAGAGGGUGCGAGCGUUAAUCGGAUUUACUGGGCGUAAAGCGUGCGUAGGCGGCUUUUUAAGUCGGAUGUGAAAUCCCUGAGCUUAACUUAGGAAUUGCAUUCGAUACUGGGAAGCUAGAGUAUGGGAGAGGAUGGUAGAAUUCCAGGUGUAGCGGUGAAAUGCGUAGAGAUCUGGAGGAAUACCGAUGGCGAAGGCAGCCAUCUGGCCUAAUACUGACGCUGAGGUACGAAAGCAUGGGGAGCAAACAGGAUUAGAUACCCCUGUAGUCCCUGUCUCUUAUAA
rnacentral:rRNA from 1 species